rnacentral:rRNA from 1 species
UACGUAGGGGGCAAGCGUUGUCCGGAUUUACUGGGCGUAAAGGGCGCGUAGGCGGCUUGCCAAGUCAGGGGUGAAAUCUUUCGGCUCAACCGGAAAACAGCCCCUGAUACUGGCGGGCUGGAGGGAGGUAGGGGCGGAUGGAACUUCCGGUGGAGCGGUGAAAUGCGUAGAUAUCGGAAGGAACGCCGGUGGCGAAAGCGAUCCGCUGGACCUCUUCUGACGCUGAUGCGCGAAAGCCAGGGGAGCAAACGGG